AGUGAACGCUGGCGGCAGGCCUAACACAUGCAAGUCGAGCGGCAGCGGGUCCCCGCGAGGGGAUGCCGGCGAGCGGCGGACGGGUGAGGAACACAUCGGAAUCUGCCUGGUUGUGGGGGAUAACGUAGGGAAACUUACGCUAAUACCGCAUGCGACCCUGAGUCGACGGACUGGGGGUGAAAGUGAGGGACCUUCGGGCCUCACGCGACCAGAUGAGCCGAUGUCGGAUUAGCUAGUUGGCGGGGUAACGGCCCGCCAAGGCGACGAUCCGUAGCUGGUCUGAGAGGAUGAUCAGCCACACUGGGACUGAGACA
rnacentral:rRNA from 1 species